UUCUCUGAGUGACUUUCGCUAAGAAAGUCUUUUGACACCUCUAAAAAUGGUGUAGAAUAAGGGGUGGGCAAGUCUGGUGUCAGCCGCCGCGGUAAUACCAGCACCCCGAGUGGUCGGGACGAUUAUUGGGCCUAAAGCAUCCGUAGCCGGUUUUACAAGUCCUCCGUUAAAUCCAGCUGCUUAACAGAUGGGCUGCGGAGGAUACUAUAAGACUAGGAGGCAGGAGAGGCAAGCGGUACUCAGUGGGUAGGGGUAAAAUCCGUUGAUCCAUUGAAGACCACCAGUGGCGAAGGCGGCUUGCCAGAAUGCGCUCGACGGUGAGGGAUGAAAGCUGGGGGAGCAAACCGGAUUAGAUACCCGGGUAGUCCCAGCUGUAAACGAUGCAGACUCGGUGAUGGACUAGCUUCAUGCUAGUCCAGUGCCGCAGGGAAGCCGUUAAGUCUGCCGCCUGGGUAGUACGGUCGCAAGACUGAAACUUAAAGGAAUUGGCGGGGGAGCACCACAAGGGGUGAAGCCUGCGGUUCAAUUGGAGUCAACGCCGGGAAUCUUACCGGGGGCGACAGCAGGAUGAAGGUCAAGCUGAAGACUUUACUAGACAAGCUGAGAGGAGGUGCAUGGCCGUCGCCAGCUCGUGCCGUGAGGUGUCCUGUUAAGUCAGGUAACGAGCGAGACCCCUGCUUCUAGUUGCUACUUUUAUUCUUCGGAGUAGAAGGGCCAAUUAGAAGGACUGCCGCCGCUAAGGCGGAGGAAGGAGGGGGCUACGGCAGGUCAGUAUGCCCCGAAACCCUCGGGCCACACGCGGGCUGCAAUGGUAAGUACAAUAGGUUCCGAUUCCGAAAGGAGGAGGCAAUCCCGUAAAACUUACCACAGUUAUGAUUGAGGGCUGAAACUCGUCCUCAUGAAUAUGGAAUCCCUAGUAU
rnacentral:rRNA from 1 species